rnacentral:lncRNA from 1 species
UUUUACAGUAAAAAAUUAGAGAAAAAAAAUUCUUCCCAAAGAGAGAAAGAGAAGGAAGAAGAUGGAUCUCCUUUCUUGUGCGCAGCCUUGAAGAAGAAGGGAUUUUUUUUAAUUUUUUUUUUUAUUUUUUUUAAGAUAAAAAUUAGAUUAAAUUUAAUUUUUAAUAUAAAAAUUUAAAAAAAAUAUCAAAAAAAAAUUUGGUUGGGCGUUUGGGACUUCCUAGAGUUCUA